UACGGAGGGUGCAAGCGUUAUCCGGAAUCACUGGGCGUAAAGGGCGCGUAGGCGGUCUGUUAAGUCUGGCGUUAAAGCCUGGGGCUCAACCCCAGAUCAGCGUUGGAUACUGGCAGGCUAGACGGUUGGAGAGGCGAGUGGAAUUACCAGUGUAGCGGUGGAAUGCGUAGAUACUGGUAGGAACACCCAUUGCGAAGGCAGCUCGCUGGACAACACGUGACGCUGAGGCGCGAAAGUGUGGGGAGCAAACCAGAUUAGAUA
rnacentral:rRNA from 1 species